AGUUCUUCCUCCUUACUUGACACCAGAAGCAAAGGAUCUUAUACGAAAGUUGCUAAGGCGACACCCUAAUGCAAGACUUGGAAGUGGUCCAGAGGAUGCAGAAAAGAUUAAAAAGCAUGCUUUCUUCAGGAAUACAAACUGGGAGUCAGUUGUGCAACGAAAACUUGAACCCCCAAUUAAACCUGCUCUUACAGGGGAAGAUGACGUAAGUCAAUUUGACACAAAAUUCACGCGUGAGAUUCCUGUCGACAGUCCAGAUGACUCGGCAUUGAGUGAAAGUGCAAAUAAGAUUUUUCAGGUGAGUAACAAAUUUGCCUUUUAGCCGGUUUUAAAAUGCAUUUUCG